rnacentral:rRNA from 1 species
AUGCCCGUGCCCUCCUCCACGCGCUGCCCCGCCGGGCCUCUCCUGCAGCCUAGUCCCUCUCCCCGGUGCUCGCGUCGCCAAGUACCUCGACCAGCCGGAGCUUCUUCCAGCCUCGCGCGCCCGAGCCCCCGAGCUCCUCUGGUCGCGCACGAGCUCCGUGACCCCGAUGGCCACUUCGUCAGUCUCGUCGCCGCCGUUGACUCGCAGGCCAGCACCUUGCCUCCUCCUGCCGACGCCCUCCACCACCCAGGCCAGCCCCCGUCGCCUUUCUCUUUUUCCUCCGUCCUUCUCCACCUCCCUAAUCUCUCUGCUCCCUCUCUGCUGCUAUGGUCAGGUGCCCCGUCGUCCGCGCCAAGACCAGCUAGCAGGCGCCCGCGUUCGUCGUCCCGAACCUCGCCUUCGCCUCACACCUCCACCUCAACUCCGGCCGGAUCGGCUCGGUUCCCCGCCGCCCCGCCAAGUCCAUGGGGCCGCCUCCCUGUCGCACGUCCGGCUUCAAUAGCAGCCAUGGAGCCGCCCCGCUUCGAUUCGGCAGGGAACGGGACCCCGACGACCUCCACCGCCCGAAUCCACCGCCUCCUGCCGCCCUUCACCUCCUACCGUCGCCCGGAUCCAGCUCCCCUCCGCCCGCCCAUCCCCGGCCUCCUGUGCUCGCCUGCUUCCUCUGCAUCGAAGCCGCUCGCCCUUUGUCUCCAUCGCCCCGAACCGGUCUCCCCUCCGCGCGUUGACCACGCCCUGCCUCACUUCGAUCUGCCUGCGAAGCCCAAGUCCAGCCAGCCGGCCUGCCUUGCCUCUUCAUCGACCGGGCCGAGGCCCAUGCUUCGGUUUCGUUCCGGAGUUGUGAGGAUUCGUUCGACUCCGUCCGUUCAUCUUCUUCAUGGACUCGUUCUUCUUCCUAGCGGGAUCUCGGUUGCAGGUGCCGAUGAGACCAGUGCAGAUGACGCAACUGAGCUCAAGUGGGAGCUCGAUGAAGCUCUUGUUCGUUGUGUUGUUUCUUUUCAUGUUGAUCAGUAG